rnacentral:rRNA from 1 species
AGUGAACGCUGGCGGUAGGCCUAACACAUGCAAGUCGAACGGCAGCACAGUAAGAGCUUGCUCUUACGGGUGGCGAGUGGCGGACGGGUGAGGAAUACAUCGGAAUCUACUUUUUCGUGGGGGAUAACGUAGGGAAACUUACGCUAAUACCGCAUACGACCUACGGGUGAAAGCAGGGGAUCUUCGUACCUUGCGCGAUUGAAUGAGCCGAUGUCGGAUUAGCUAGUUGGCGGGGUAAAGGCCCACCAAGGCGACGAUCCGUAGCUGGUCUGAGAGGAUGAUCAGCCACACUGGAACUGAGACACGGUCCAGACUCCUACGGGAGGCAGCAGUGGGGAAUAUUGGACAAUGGGCGCAAGCCUGAUCCAGCCAUACCGCGUGGGUGAAGAAGGCCUUCGGGUUGUAAAGCCCUUUUGUUGGGAAAGAAAAGCAGCAGGUUAAUACCCCGCUGUCCUGACGGUACCCAAAGAAUAAGCACCGGCUAACUUCGUG